AACGUCGCAGUGUUCGAAUGGCGCGUAACGUACUCGUGAGUUUUGCAAAUCAGUGUGAUUAUAAAAGUAAUUUGUCGAGUAAUAAUUUAUAUUAUCGCGUGAUAUGUAGUGCGUUUUGUAGUCAUAAAAGUGUACAAUUACGGAGUGUGUUCGCGUUGAGAACAGUGUUCGUGUUCAAGACGAAAAUUGUGGAUUAAUAUUCUUCAACUACGGUCGCACGAAUGACAGCGCUGAGACGCAAUUCCAUUUGGAUUAUCAGCAGUUUUCUACUUGAUCAUCGGUUUUCGUAAAGAUUAAUAUUCUCCAACUACAGUCGCACGAAUGAGAACGCUGAGACGCAAUUCUACUUCGAUCAUCAGCAGUUUUCUACUUGAUCAUCGGUCUUCGUAAAGGAGACGGAGAAUAAAAUCGACGAAAAGUCUUCUGGAAAAGUUCGGUUAACGAGUUUGUUUGCUGGAUGAAAAUUCAACAUGGAUUUCCUCGGUUGAUUACCGUGAGAAGCGUGGGUCAGCAGGUGCCCACGUCAUGGAAAAACAAUGAAGGCAAACGAGGCGAAACGGCGUCAUCGUUUCGAGCGGAACGCGAAGCAGAAAAUUACCCUGGCAAAGAAAUCACGGUGAUUCCACGGUAAAAAUAUGGGGUGGAGUUAACUAGCCCAAAUAAAUUACCGGACUAAGAAUUACGGAGUCAAUGAUGACGAUUAGUACACAAUAAACAUCAUCUUUGAUGAACAAUA